UCUUCCCCUGCUUGAGCAGCUGAAGGAAGCGGCAUACCACCAGUGGGACCUGAGACUUCAGGAGAAAAAAAUCAGCAGAGUUGUGCCUGGAUAUCAUCCCGGGCUAGGGAGAGACACCCUGGGGGCAAAACGUCGCUGGAAUCAGACGAGGGUGCUGCCUACAGAAACAGGCACAGCUUUCUAAGUUGUGCCACAAAAACAAGCUGCUGAACACUCACGCAGUAAUGCUGUGUGAUUUACAAGGCCUUUUGCUUCUCUCAGGUCUUUGAAACAAAAGCAUCAGAAACCCUUUUGCAGAACAGAAAACUGAGGUGGCCAGUGGUGUUCAAAGGCAAUGCAGAGUGCUGUAGGGGGGAGAUCAGUACCCACGCACAUCUUGACUCUGCAACUUCAAUCCAGAAGAACCCUGAAUUGGAACGUGAAGAGAAGAGAGUGGACUUUUGGCACUAUUGGGAAGUAAUUCUUCAUUAUGCAAGAAUUUAUUACAUCCUUGCUAUGGGAGGGAAGAAUUAACAAGUGGAGGACACUUCCAAGAUGGCAGGAAACGUGAAUGUGUUACAAGAAAGAAAAACACCAAGCAGAACUGGGUUAGAAGCACUAGGCAUCCAGCUCUUGGUUUUGGCUCAGGUCAUGAUCUCAAGGUCAU